rnacentral:rRNA from 1 species
GAUGAACGCUGGCGGCGUGCCUAAUACAUGCAAGUCGAGCGAACAGACGAGGAGCUUGCUCCUCUGACGUUAGCGGCGGACGGGUGAGUAACACGUGGAUAACCUACCUAUAAGACUGGGAUAACUUCGGGAAACCGGAGCUAAUACCGGAUAACAUGUUGAACCGCAUGGUUCAACAGUGAAAGACGGUCUUGCUGUCACUUAUAGAUGGAUCCGCGCCGCAUUAGCUAGUUGGUAAGGUAACGGCUUACCAAGGCAACGAUGCGUAGCCGACCUGAGAGGGUGAUCGGCCACACUGGAACUGAGACACGGUCCAGACUCCUACGGGAUGCAGCAGUAGGGAAUCUUCCGCAAUGGGCGAAAGCCUGACGGAGCAACGCCGCGUGAGUGAAGAAGGUCUUCGGAUCGUAAAACUCUGUUAUUAGGGAAGAACAAAUGUGUAAGUAACUAUGCACGUCUUGACGGUACCUAAUCAGAAAGCCACGGCUAACUACGUG